GAUCGCUGAGAAGACAAACAACUACCUCACAAAUCUCCCAGAAGCCUCGAAAAAGAAGAGAAUAACAAGUACCACAAAAAUCCAGGCUCGUAACCUACAAAAAUUUGUAGAAGCAAGGGGUGAGUACCAAACCACACGGUACUCAGCAAGUAAACCUCUAAACACGAGCUAAGGGGAUAGAAUACAAGUACUCCUUACACCCCAACCGAACCUUCACAACUACAAUCUGUAUAAAACCAGCC
rnacentral:lncRNA from 1 species